rnacentral:rRNA from 1 species
CGAGGGUGCAAACGUUGCUCGGAUUUACUGGGCGUAAAGCGCGUGUAGGCGGACUCGCAAGUCGGUUGUGAAAUCCCUGGGCUCAACCUAGGAACUGCAUCCGAAACUGCUUGUCUUGAGUAAUGGAGAGGGUGGCGGAAUUCCCGGUGUAGAGGUGAAAUUCGUAGAUAUCGGGAGGAACAUCAGUGGCGAAGGCGGCCACCUGGACAUUUACUGACGCUGAGACGCGAAAGCGUGGGGAGCAAACAGGAUUAGAUACCCGAGUAGUCC